rnacentral:pre_miRNA from 1 species
UUUAAGUGCACUUAAGGAUUUCAACGUUUUAUCAUCCGUCUUAUUUAAAAUUUUUUAAUUAGUAUUUUUAUUUUUAUUAGAUGAUAAAACAUAAAUAAUACUUUAUGCGUGAUUUAUUUUUUAAAAAUUAUAAAUUUUUCAAAUAAGGUGAAGAUACAUAAAGUCGCAACUGCAGUUAAG